rnacentral:rRNA from 1 species
AUUGAACGCUGGCGGCAGGCUUAACACAUGCAAGUCGAGCGGGGGAAGGUAGCUUGCUACUGGACCUAGCGGCGGACGGGUGAGUAAUGCUUAGGAAUCUGCCUAAUAGUGGGGGACAACAUCUAGAAAGGGAUGCUAAUACCGCAUACGUCCUACGGGAGAAAGCAGGGGAUCUUCGGACCUUGCGCUAAUAGAUGAGCCUAAGUCGGAUUAGCUAGUUGGUGGGGUAAAGGCCUACCAAGGCGACGAUCUGUAGCGGGUCUGAGAGGAUGAUCCGCCACACUGGGACUGAGACACGGCCCAGACUCCUACGGGAGGCAGCAGUGGGGAAUAUUGGACAAUGGGGGGAACCCUGAUCCAGCCAUGCCGCGUGUGUGAAGAAGGCCUUAUGGUUGUAAAGCACUUUAAGCGAGGAGGAGGCUACUUUAGUUAAUACCUAGAGAUAGUGGACGUUACUCGCAGAAUAAGCACCGGCUAACUCUGUGCCAGCCGCCGCUGUAA